CGGGUGUAGCUCAGUUGGUUAGAGCGCCGGCCUGUCACGCCGGAG
rnacentral:tRNA from 1 species